UUCCGGAUGGCGCAGUGGUUAACGCAUCUGCCUCGAAAGCAGGAGAUCCCAGGAUCGAAUCCUGGUCCGGUAC